CUACGUGCCAGCAGCCGCGGUAAUACGUAUGUCACAAGCGUUAUCCGGAUUUAUUGGGCGUAAAGCGCGUCUAGGUGGUUAUGUAAGUCUGAUGUGAAAAUGCAGGGCUCAACUCUGUAUUGCGUUGGAAACUGCAUGACUAGAGUACUGGAGAGGUAAGCGGAACUACAAGUGUAGAGGUGAAAUUCGUAGAUAUUUGUAGGAAUGCCGAUGGGGAAGCCAGCUUACUGGACAGAUACUGACGCUAAAGCGCGAAAGCGUGGGUAGCAAACAGGAUUAGAUACCCUGGUAGUCCACGCCGUAAACGAUGAUUACUAGGUGUUGGGGGUCGAACCUCAGCGCCCAAGCUAACGCGAUAAGUAAUCCGCCUGGGGAGUACGUACGCAAGUAUGAAACUCAAAGGAAUUGACGGGGACCCGCACAAGCGGUGGAGCAUGUGGUUUAAUUCGACGCAACGCGAGGAACCUUACCAGAUCUUGACAUCC
rnacentral:rRNA from 1 species